rnacentral:lncRNA from 1 species
GAAAUCUUGGGGCUUGAAUUAAUUGCGUAAAGGUACAGUUACAAGGAGAAGCAGAUGGCAGAUAAAAUAGUGUAACGUUAAUAAACUUGCUUCCAUUUGUAGCAACUUGAAUAGAAUGCUAGUAGCUAAGGUAGCUCAGAAAGAAGUGGAUAUAGCAUGAAAGAGCAGAGGUACACUGACCAUACAACGUGGAAAUGUGAGUUCUGGCACUAUGGAGAACACAUUGCACCAGAAUGGCUUUUCCUGUGAAACAGAUCAUAUCUGCACCCAGGGAAAGCAGUAAUGGGAGUUUCUCUCAUCUUUCUUCAUGGAAGGAAAGUUUAUCCAUUUCUAUGCUCAAGUGCUGCUUCUGCAAGACCCUUCAGGAAUCCUGGGUGUCACUACAGUUUCCUGCAGAGCCUGAGAUGUCCUGAGUAUCUUCAACUGUAAUCUAAAUAGAGCUAUGAGAGUGCCAGUAUUUCCAUGUUAGCACGGAGUGAAACCGGGGGAUUCCUGCCUUGGGGAGAAGGCCUUCAGACAAAUCUGAUGCAGAUAUUAUAUACAAUGAUACAAGGAAUGGAAUUCUUAUGUAUGCUUUUCUACGAACCCCGUUUGCUUACCAUAGG